rnacentral:rRNA from 1 species
UACGUAGGGUCCGAGCGUUGUCCGGAAUUACUGGGCGUAAAGAGCUCGUAGGUGGUUUGUCGCGUUGUUCGUGAAAACUCACAGCUUAACUGUGGGCGUGCGGGCGAUACGGGCAGACUGGAGUACUGCAGGGGAGACUGGAAUUCCUGGUGUAGCGGUGGAAUGCGCAGAUAUCAGGAGGAACACCGAUGGCGAAGGCAGGUCUCUGGGCCACUACUGACGCUGAGGAGCGAAAGCGUGGGGAGCGAACAGG